rnacentral:rRNA from 1 species
CAGUCGCCGCGGUAAUACGUAGGUGGCAAGCGUUAAUCGGAAUUACUGGGCGUAAAGCGUGCGCAGGCGGUUCUAUAAGACAGAUGUGAAAUCCCCGGGCUCAACCUGGGAACUGCAUUUGUGACUGUAGAGCUGGAGUGCGGCAGAGGGGGAUGGAAUUCCGCGUGUAGCAGUGAAAUGCGUAGAUAUGCGGAGGAACACCGAUGGCGAAGGCAAUCCCCUGGGCCUGCACAGACGCUCAUGCACGAAAGCGUGGGGAGCAAACAGGAUUAGAUACCCCCGUAGUCCCUGUCUCUUAUAC